rnacentral:piRNA from 1 species
UUCAAACCUUGCUGUUUCUGGGACUUAAAA